CCAAUCAAUGGUCUUAUACCAAUCUCCUAAAACAAAAUGGGAUAUCAGAUGCCACUCAAUGGACUUACACUAAUCUCCACAGGCAAAGAAAUAAAAGCGGAUACCGGAUACCAAUAGAUGGAUUUACACCAGUCUCCUAAAACAGAAAUGGAUAUCAGAUGCCACUCAAUGGACUUACACUAAUCUCCACAGAAGAAAACAAGAAAUGG
rnacentral:lncRNA from 1 species